rnacentral:rRNA from 1 species
UACGUAGGGGGCAAGCGUUGUCCGGAAUUAUUGGGCGUAAAGCGCGCGCAGGCGGUCGGCUUAGUCGGGUGGUUAAGCCCAGGGCUUAACCCUGGGUCACACCGGAAACGGGUCGACUGGAGUGCAGAAGAGGAGAGUGGAAUUCCACGUGUAGCGGUGAAAUGCGUAGAGAUGUGGAGGAACACCAGUGGCGAAGGCGACUCUCUGGGCUGUCACUGACGCUGAGGCGCGAAAGCGUGGGGAGCAAACAGG